ACGGAGGAUCCAAGCGUUAUCCGGAAUUACUGGGCGUAAAGAGUUGCGUAGGUGGCAUCGUAAGUCGGUAGUGAAAGCGUGGGGCUCAACCCCAUACACAUUACCGAAACUGCGAAGCUAGAGGACGAGAGAGGUAACUGGAAUUCCUAGUGUAGGAGUGAAAUCCGUAGAUAUUAGGAGGAACACCGAUGGCGUAGGCAGGUUACUGGCUCGUUCCUGACACUAAGGCACGAAAGCGUGGGUAGCAAACGGGA
rnacentral:rRNA from 1 species